rnacentral:misc_RNA from 1 species
GUGAAUCAUCGAAUCUUUGAACGCAUAUUGCGCUUCUUGGAAAUUCCGGGGAGCAUGCCCGUUUCAGUAUCAUAUGAAGUCUUAAUGGGCAUAGCUAGGGCUUAGCAUAUGCAUGUAAAUGUGUAUGUUAAGCUAUUACAUAGCUAUACCUAUUAAGGAUUUUGGACUUCUUUUUUUGACGUUCACACGCAAAAUAGUCUUUAAAUAAUUGUGCAUGCUUACUGAUAGCAUAUGUUGGCUGCAACUGAGCAACAGAAUAUUGUUCUAUUUCUCUUUGGCAGUUUGUCUAUGUGUCUGUGA